rnacentral:tRNA from 1 species
GCAAUGGUGGUUUAGUGGUAGAAUUCCCGUGUCCCACGCAGGUGAUCCGGGUCCGAUUCCCGGCCAACGCA